rnacentral:rRNA from 1 species
UACGAAGGGGGCUAGCGUUGCUCGGAAUCACUGGGCGUAAAGGGUGCGUAGGCGGGUCUUUAAGUCAGGGGUGAAAUCCUGGAGCUCAACUCCAGAACUGCCUUUGAUACUGAAGAUCUUGAGUUCGGGAGAGGUGAGUGGAACUGCGAGUGUAGAGGUGAAAUUCGUAGAUAUUCGCAAGAACACCAGUGGCGAAGGCGGCUCACUGGACAUGUAUUGACGCUGAGGUGCGAAAGCGUGGGGAGCAAACAGG